AAUGAUCUAAAAGAUACUCAAUAGCGUAUAUUAAAGUUGUUGCAGUUAAAAAGCUCGUAGUUGAACCUUGGGCCUGGCUGGCCGGUCCGCCUCACCGCGAGUACUGGUCCGGCUGGACCUUUCCUUCUGGGGAACCUCAUGGCCUUCACUGGCUGUGGGGGGAACCAGGACUUUUACUGUGAAAAAAUUAAAGUGUUCAAACCAGGCCUUUGCUCGAAUACAUUACCAUGGAAUAAUAAAAUAGGACGUGCGGUUCUAUUUUGUUGGUUUCUAGGACCGCCGUAAUGAUUAAUAGGGAUAGUCGGGGGCGUCAGUAUUCAGCUGUCAGAGGUGAAAUUCUUGGAUUUGCUGAAGACUAACUACUGCGAAAGCAUUCGCCAAGGAUGUUUUCAUUAAUCAGGAAACAAAAUUUAGGGGAUCAAAAACAAUCAAAUACCGUCGUAUUCUUAACCAUAAACUAUGCCAACUAGGGAUCGGA
rnacentral:rRNA from 1 species